rnacentral:rRNA from 1 species
AAAGGGUGACGAAGCGACGCCGCGUGUGGGAAGAAGGCCUUCGGGUUGUAAACCACUGUCGGGAGUUAAGAAGUGUAAGGGUGUUAAGAGCAUCCUUGCUUGACGUUAGCUCCGGAGGAAGCCACGGCUAACUCUGUGCCAGCAGCCGCGGUAAUACAGAGGUGGCAAGCGUUGUUCGGAAUUAUUGGGCGUAAAGAGCACGUAGGCGGCCCUGCAAGUCAGCUGUGAAAUCCUUCUGCUCAACGGAAGAACGGCAGUUGAUACUACAGGGCUCGAGUGCGGGAGGGGAGAGUGGAACUUCUGGAGGAGCGGUGAAGUGCGUAGAUAUCAGAAGGAACAUCGGCGGCGAAAGCGACUCUCUGGCCCGUAACUGACGCUGAGGUGCGAAAGCUAGGGGAGCAAACGGGAUUAGAUACCCCGGUAGUCCNAGCCGUAAACGAUGGGCACUAAGUAGAGGGGUUU